GGCCGGGAGCGGCUCCUCCCCGCCGCGGACAGCGCCGGCCGGGAGCUGAGGUGCGGGUUAAAGAGGCAAACCUGCUGCCAUCUGCGGGUGCCGAGGUCUGCGUGCUCGUCACAGGGUCCCUUCUGGAGGUCAUCUGUCCCAACAGCCCUGCCGAGGCAGGGUCGCCUGGAGCAGGAACGCGUCCAGUAUGAUUCUACUGAGUUUUCUGAAAGCAAUUGGAGCCCAGUUUGUCUUCAGAAGAGGACAGAUCUCCUGCUGUGCUUCUGCCCUCACCCACCCAACCUCAGGGAGCUGUAGCAGCAAGGCCAGAGUGGUUUCAGCUUUCCAGAAACAAAGCAGGAACAGAGAUAAAAGCUCCACGGACUGAGAUCCAGUUGGAAACCUUCUGGAUCCCUGGGCUUGCUCACCCAGAAUAAAACCUUGAAAGUUUCACAACAUUCAAAAGAAAAAAAAAAAAAAAGAAACCCUGUGCAGCUACUGAGAAUUGGAUUUCUCAAGACUUCUUU